GGGCUACGGAUAGGGAAGGACUGGCGUGGAGACUUUUCGGGGAGGGUGGAGCCACUGUGGUGGCUGCUUGCCCAUACGUGUUUGUCAACACUGGCAGAAGUGUGCACCGAAAUGGUGACUAUCAUUCCUCCCCUGGAUACCUAUGUUCUUUCUCUACGAGAAUGACCUUCUACAGAAGUGCAAACAGAUGAUGCCAGUUUGAGGUCUUUGGGUCAUUAUGGGGAUGCCCUCAAAUGGGAUUAAGGAGUUGCGGUGGUCACAGUGUCUCCUCAUAGCAAUAGAACGCCGACUAAGAUGAUCAUGGAGAGCUGGAGGAGAUAGUGUUCCUCCAUCCAUACUGCUGUACCCAACGCAGCUCAUUGACAUGACAACAGAUAUUUGGAAAGGCAUCUGGAAGAACCAUAAAAAAAAAGCAGCAAUUAAAGAGCUGGAGUGAAGACACUGUGGGCGGAAGAGGCACACCCAAAAGCCGUAAGGUUACUGAAUAGAGUCUUAGUGCAAGAGAACUGGAUGGCAAGUUCUUAUUGUUGAAGACGCCAAACACUUUGGCUGAAGGACGGAGAGAAGUGAGGAUGGGCCUGAUCUGGAAACUCACUCCCUGACUGCCGGGGGGGAUUGUCGACAGUCCUGCCAUUAUUGACCCUGCAGGCUACACUACCAAGAUGCCAGGAAAGACGGGGUGCGACAGUGAUGCAGCCUUUAUGGUGUAGUUCACUGCUUGCACAGGAGAGCACUCACUUUUAGUACUUUGUAAGUCAGGACAAAAACUUGUGGCCAGAGAAGCUCCUGGCUCCAAGGUCCGGGGAAGCUAUUGCUGCUGUUAAAUGCGUAUGAUACGCCUAUCAAAUUGCCUUCUAAACAUUUAUGCUUAUAUCCAUAGAUUACUGUUGCUGUCAGCCUUAGUUAUGGAGGGGAAUUUCUUUUUUGCUGUGGGGGGUGGUUAUUAUGGAAACGUAAAACUGUUAAGAAUAAGUGACAGGCUGGGUGGUGUGGUGGCACACGUCUUUAAUCCCAGCACUCGGGAGGCAGAGGCAGGCGGAUCUCUGUGAGUUCGAGGCCAGCCUGGGCUACAGAGUGAGUUCCAGGAUAGCCAGGGCUACACAGAGAAACCCUGUCUCGAAAAAAAGAGUAAGUGACAAUUGCUGUGGUCCAGUGAGGUGGCAUAAAAUCACCACCUGUCCUGGUUAGAUUUUGUCAGCUGGACACAAGCUAGAGUCAAGUGGGAAGGAGCCUCAACUGAGAAAACGCCUCCAUCCAUCGGUAUUGCCCAUAUGCAAGACUGCAGGGCGCCAUCGUCUUAAUUGCUACUUGAUCGGGAAAGACCCAGUCUACUGAGGGUGGUGCCGCUCCUGUUCUGAGCCGUGUAACGGAGUGAGAUAAAUGAUCUGUGAGGAUCAAUCCAGUAAGCAGCAUGCUUACUUCUGCUUCAGUUUCUGCCUCUGAGUCCCUGCCAUGGCUUCCCUCAGGGGUGGACUGUGAUCUGAGAGGUACAAGAUGAAAUAACCCUUUCCUUCCCAAGUUUCUUUUGGACAUGGUGUUAUAUCACAGCAAUAGAAUCCUUAACUAAGACACCACCCGCCUAGAUCAGCCCUUCUGAGGCUCUGGGGACAUCGUUGAAGAGGAGGUUAAGACAGACAGACAAACAAACAAAAGAGCAGGAGGAAGGGGCAGAGUGUUGUCUGUAUUUCCUCUGAAUUGAAAUACUUGUUCCUGGAAAGAGGGGGCGGUGCGCUCAUAAGAUAUAGAAAGCUAAUGAAAGGUGUAGUUUAUGAAGCCUACAAGGUACAAGAAGCUCAGAGAGUCAUAACACCUAUGAGGCCCUUUCCAAGUAUAUACAAGCAAUCACCAAUUGCCAGGAAAGGUGGAUACACAGGACAGACAGAGCGUCCGUGCAUUUGUCUGAAUGCUGUGCAGAGAACUUCAAUGAAGCCUCAUUCAUGUAUUACAUCUAUGCUGGGAGUGGGCUUUUUUUGGGAUACAACUGCCUUCCAGUCACCCAUGUA